GGCCGGUUAGCUCAGUUGGUUAGAGUGUGGUGCUGGUAACGCCAACAUCAAGGGUUCGGAUCCCCGUACCAGCCA